GACGAACGCUGGCGGCGUGCUUAACACAUGCAAGUCGAACGGAAAGGCCCUGCUUGCAGGGUACUCGAGUGGCGAACGGGUGAGUAACACGUGGGUGAUCUGCCCUGCACUUCGGGAUAAGCCUGGGAAACUGGGUCUAAUACCGGAUAGGAGCCAUUCUUAGUGUGAUGGUUGGAAAGUUUUUUCGGUGUAGGAUGAGCUCGCGGCCUAUCAGCUUGUUGGUGGGGUAAUGGCCUACCAAGGCGGCGACGGGUAGCCGGCCUGAGAGGGUGGACGGCCAAAAUUGGGCUGGGGAUCGGGCCAGGCUCCUACGGGGGGCAGGAGGGGGGGAUAAUGCACAAUGGGGGCAAGCCUGAUGCAGCGACGCCGCGGGGGGGAUGGCGGGCUUCGGGUUUGAAACUCCUUUCGGUAGGGACGAAGCUGUGUGUGACGGUACCUAGAUAAGAAGCACCGGCUAACUACGUG
rnacentral:rRNA from 1 species